rnacentral:rRNA from 1 species
UAGGGAAUCUUCGGCAAUGGACGAAAGUCUGACCGAGCAACGCCGCGUGAGUGAAGAAGGUUUUCGGAUCGUAAAACUCUGUUGUUAGAGAAGAACAAGGACGUUAGUAACUGAACGUCCCCUGACGGUAUCUAACCAGAAAGCCACGGCUAACUACGUGCCAGCAGCCGCGGUAAUACGUAGGUGGCAAGCGUUGUCCGGAUUUAUUGGGCGUAAAGCGAGCGCAGGCGGUUUCUUAAGUCUGAUGUGAAAGCCCCCGGCUCAACCGGGGAGGGUCAUUGGAAACUGGGAGACUUGAGUGCAGAAGAGGAGGGUGGAAUUCCAUGUGUAGCGGUGAAAUGCGUAGAUAUAUGGAGGAACACCAGUGGCGAAGGCGGCUCUCUAGUCUGUAACUGACGCUGAGGCUCGAAAGCGUGGGGAGCAAACAGG